rnacentral:lncRNA from 1 species
CACACGGUGGAGUGAAGGCAGCAGCUGAAGGUGAAGUCCCCUGGUCCAGUUCCAAGCUUCUGCCAGGAACAGCAGUUCUUCUCAAGCAGGCCUCCUUCUGCCCCUGGGGACCUCCGGAAGGUCAGCCUUCACUAUCCGCCU